rnacentral:rRNA from 1 species
GACGAACGCUGGCGGCGUGCCUAAUACAUGCAAGUAGACCUGAGUUGCGAACGGGUGAGUAACGCGUAGGAACCUGCCUCAUAGCGGGGGAUAACUAUUGGAAACGCUAGCUAAUACCGCAUACUUUGAGAUGGACCUGCGUUGUAUUAGCUAGUUGGUGGGGUAAAGGCCUACCAAGGCGACGAUCCGUAACUGGCCUGAGAGGAUGAGCAGCCACACUGGGACUGAGACACGGUCCAGACUCCUACGGGAGGCAGCAGUGGGGAAUCUUGGACAAUGGGCGAAAGCCUGACCCAGCAAUGCCGCGUGUGUGAAGAAGGUCUUCGGAUUGUAAAGCACUUUAAGUUGGGAGGCGUUACCUACAGAAUAAGCAACGGCUAACUUCGUGCCAGCAGCCGCGGUAAUAC